UACGUAGGGUGCGAGCGUUGUCCGGAAUCACUGGGCGUAAAGAGCUCGUAGGUGGUUUGUCUCGUCGGCUGUGAAAUUCCGGGGCUUAACUCCGGGAGUGCAGGCGAUACGGGCAAACUGGAGUGCUGUAGGGGAGACUGGAAUUCCUGGUGUAGCGGUGGAAUGCGUAGAUAUCAGGAGGAACACCGAUGGCGAAGGCAGGUCUCUGGGCAGUUAUUGACACUGAGGAGCGAAAGCAUGGGUAGCGAACAGG
rnacentral:rRNA from 1 species